UCGGGCACCUUCUUCCUGCGCCCACCCCGCCCUCAGGAAUGCUGCAUGGCCUCCCCCGAGCGGCGGUGGGAGCCUCGGCCCGGGAGAGCACGCUUGGGGGCAGGAAGUGGCCCGGCCCUCCUUGUGGAGGGCGUUUCCGGAGCGCCUACUGUGCUCCUCGCUGGGGUGGGGGUCGUUACCGAAGGGGGAACUCCUGGAAAUUCUAACUUUUGUCAGUUCGCGCCCCGCACCAGACGUCCUGCCGGCUUUUCGAUUGCUCUCAUUGCCUCGAGGGGAAACUGAGGCCAGUUAGUCCGGGCAGUUAACCGCAGCUGAUAAAGAACUGGGCUGUGAUGGGGACGCCUGUUAUGCCCUCAAGGGCCUGUAGAGUCUGGGAGGCCGCCUUCCGCCCUAAGCUCAGAAAGCACGUUGUUGGGCUCACAGGGAGGCUGCCAGAGGUGAAAACAGCCAACGCUUUCAACGAUGCUGUAAGGGGCACUUCGUGUGUGACAUCCCGUCUCAUCCUCGGGUGAUGGGGCCCUAAGCCAAUCAGAAUGUUGAUUAAAGGAUUGUUAAGGUUUCACCUGGACACCCCAUCGAAGCCAGACUCCCUGCAAAUGUUAGAAACCUUCUCACAGCAGCAGAACUGUUCGGGGAAAUUGCAAACAGCUAAAUACCCCUCACCAGGAGCUGGUUCCUUAUAGCAACUCUGAGACCUCUACUGCGGGCUUUUAAAAUGGGGAUCCCCUUUUCUGGACAUGCAGGGCAGAACACAUGCUUCGGGGCAGCCUCAACUACAGAGCAUGCGGCAUGCCAGACAAGUGCCAAGCAUGGACCCCACGCAGUGAUGGACGUGAGCCCCCAGCUCAAAGACGACACACGGAGAAGGGAGCCAAGCAGCACUGACCGAUGUGGGCAGCGUUAUUGCCGACCAGGAAUUUGUCCCUGGACUUCCCCUCCGUACUGCUCCAUGCUCACCUUCCUCUUCUCGGGGGUCUCCACCAGCUGCCAGCUGUUGGCCUUGAGGUGGUAGAGUUCAUCAAACUUCAUGCUGAUGUCCUCGAUGGACAGCUGUAGCAGGUCCCAGAACCCUGCCAGGUCCUGGGCUGUGGGGCGUGGGUUGGCGUCAGGGUUCUGUGGGCCAGAAGGGGAUUAGUGGGGCCGGCUCGGCAGAGGCUUGUCCUGCCCCCACCCCCGCCCCACCCAAGCAUGGUUCCCCUGGCCCUGCCAGUACCCUACCCUCAGGGGCUCUUGAGGUCUAGUGUCCUGGUCAGUAUCUAUAUGAAUCAAUCAAGCCAGUUCUGGUCAGCACCAGCCCAGUGGUGGGGAUCCUUGGGGACAGUCUCAUCAUGAGGAUUAGAGGUCACUGUAGGGCUGUAGUGAGGAAAGCACUCCUGUCUCUAAUGUAGGUCAGGCAGACAUUUGUUUUUGUUUUACAGGGAAGAAACAGAAGUUCUUGGCCAUGGUGCGACAGUGACACCGAGAGAAGCCUGAUUCACUCCCAGGUGGGAAGAUCACAGAAUUCGUGUUGUUUCCCUCGUAUCACUCUGUUCCAUGACAAUGCAACCCCCAGGUCUCUGUAGGUCUUGGAGACAAACACUCUCCACUGUCUCCUGCUGGGAGCGCACAGAUUCCCACAAACAGAAUGGCCCAGGCCUUUGCUUCUGACCCCAGCAGGGCCAGCCCUCCUAACAGUGAUUCUGGCCAAGGUAAGCACCCCAGAGGAAUUCUCCCAUGUCAUGGCAGAGAAACAUGCACCAGGGUGUUGAUGAAAUGCUGAAAAUACCAAAACAUCAUUAGGAAAACAGUCAAAGACAAUGUAGUAUAUGCGUAUGAAUUUAACAGAAACAAACUAGAAUUCUAUGUAUCAAAGUAGACAGAACCCCACACAGUGUUCAAUAUAAAACUGUUCU